AUCUUCAGGGCAGGGUGAAACUCCCUACCGGCGGUAAAGCCCGCGAGCCGAAAGGCAGAUUCGGUGUAACUCCGAAGCCGACAGUGAACCGGUUUUCCGGAAAAGUCUGGAUGGAAGAAGAG
rnacentral:ncRNA from 1 species